AAAUAUUUCUUGAUUUUUAAUAUAAAACUAUUUAAAAGUUAAACGGUAUUUAUUGUACACGAAUGCACACAUAUACGUUGAUAAUGAAGUCGGACGUAUAGAAAAUCAUGGUAGUUUAAACGUAACAGUAGUUUAGUUACGAAAUAUACGUAUAUUAUAUAUUUUAUAUUAUUUUCGAACUGUUGAGAAAAAUAAUGCGGUAUGGCGAAGGACAAUUUAUAAUUCCCGCUAAAAAUUCGUAAAGAUACGAAUGUUAGUUUUUACUAAAUACACCCUUUUGAUUGGAGAAUAUUUAUCGUAUAGCGCCAUCUCGGACUGCAUAGCGUCGGCGCGAUAGGAAAGCCGGUGGUUAGUCGCUUUCGAACCAUCGCCUCGUACGUUCGUGCGCGUUCGUUGAAUUUUGAUUUCUGCAAUUUAUGACUCGAUUUAUGUGAUAAAAAAACUAUUGGGAUUGAUUGACCAUUCCAAACAAAGUGCAAAAUUCGGAUAAGAAAGGAGAUUUUUUUGAAAUAAGGACGAGAAUGAAAAAGGGUGGAAAUGUCGCACUUGAUUCGUUGGAUUUCGUUUGAAUGAAAAAUGUCCUCGUUGUGAGCCGAUUAAGAAGACGAGGUGCGAUGUUGCAAAGAUCUUCGCCAUGAGCGAAAGCCGGGUUUACACCGGUCCAGCCACGCUCGCCGAACGUCAACCGUUCAGCAGGAAUGGGAAGGCACUCAGAGGUUCGAAGAAAAGCGUAUUGUUUUAUACGACAGAUUGCGGCGACGAUAAAGACGAUCGCGGUGGUGUUAAACUGGAGCAACGAUCGGUCUCAUUGACCGCUCUACAUACCAAUACCGGUGCCCAGCAACAACUAUUGGAGCCGAGAAUGGCGCAACUGGAGACCUUGGAGGCGAAGAUGGCGAGUAUUGAAGUAUCCCUUUCGACGACACCGAGAAGAAAGAAGGGUGGUAGUCUAGCUGGUGGGGUGACGUCUUCCGCCGGUCACCGUAAUAAAGAUCAUUAUAAAGAACUCGACGCCCUUCGUGUAGCCCUUCGCGAUAAGGAAAAUAUUAUACAGACACUGAAGGGUCAAUUGUGCAAUAGCUUGAGCAACCGACUAGCCUUGCGAAAUGGUGCUGCACCACCCUUGACCGAGGCUGACAGGAAAGCUACCGAGGAAAGACUUCAAAGGCUGAGACGUGACGCAGACAACAAGAGAUUGGCUAUAAAGAAUCUUAAACUAGCUUUGGAACGUCUGGAUAUAACCGAUAACAUCGACGUUCGCAUACAACAAGCAGAACUGGAAUACAGGCUAGGUCGCGAAGAACUCGAGCUUUUGACUUUACGCGAAGAGAGCAGGACUCUUCAGACGGCGUUGGAAUUGGCAGAAACCCAGGAGAAACGGAAAAAUGAUACCAUAUACAGCUGUAUUUCCGGGUCAACGCAAGUCACCGUACAUGCCGUCGAAGUCAGUGCCGAUCCAAAGAGUCCUCGUUUCGGUGCUGGACCAAGAGACGAGAUGCCUGGCCUUUAUGUCGAUUGGGCCGUUGAAGAUUCUGGUCUUUGCAAGGGAGACAGGAUACUCGAGGUGAACGGGAAACUCGUUGUUGGAGCUAACAAAAACGAUCUGACGAGACUCUUAGCUGUCGCACCGGACGCGGCACAGAUCGUAGUAUUACGAAAAGGCGAGUCACUCGCUGCACUGCGGACACUUAGAUCCGAUAACUUAAGACUGACGCAUAGAAUCGGAUAUCUCGAGGAACAAGUUAGGGAUUUACUAGCACCGACCAGAGCCGAACUUCGUGCGACAGAUUUGUCAUUGACCAGUCAAGAACAUGUUCAGGUUUUUCAAAAAGGUCCUCAAGUAACGGCGCUAGUCGCUAAUUUAUCCAGUCCUAAGAUUAGAAAUCCAACGGAAUUAAGACAAAGUUUGCCAACUAUGAGAAGCAGACAAAACGAUCAUGGUAGGCACUUUACCACAUCGAGGAGUCCCAAGGAGAAUGAUUUCUUUUCCGACGGGGUGUCUUAUAGUCAUCAGAAGCCGAGGAAUCGGCAGAAACAUCAAGCUUUUCCAUUAGCCAGAUCAACAGCUAGUCUUGAUUGCAAACAGACACAAUCUCAAUUACAGCGUAGAAGAUUGGCUACGAUUGAGUCGGGAAUGGAAAGUCGGAAAAGUCAACAGUUGCAGACUUUGGAGUUUGAUUCCGAACCUACUUAUUAUCGUCAGGACUCUCAAUCACGUGUUUCCGAAAAUUCAGAAAUUCUGAGCACGUACAGUUCGCAAGAAACUAAAAUUCGACCGGCACCACCUAAAAAACCGCUCAGGCUUUCUCUUCAUCGCGCGGCGAGUCUUCAAUCCGUCGAAAGUGCACCGCCUGCGGCAGCGACUCUUCACGAAAGCUCUCGUAAAUCGUCCAAGAGGAACCACCGCGGUGAGCUACCUUCCGUGGAAAAGAGUUCAACGAUGGAAGGAAAUCAAGAGACAAACCAUAGAAUACAGGAAAUGCAACUUGAUCUUUCACAGCAACCGCCACCACCGCCAAGGACGCCUUCCAGAGCGGAAUCUUGCCAGAAUGCCUUGCGGUGGCCUUCGCCAAAGCCACGAUCACAUUUGGCUUCUGUAUCAACGGAAAAAUGGUGUUGAGUGUAUUGAAAUAAACACUGGACGAAAUAUCCAAGAAGAAGAUAGAAAUACUCAAUGAAUUGUGACUUGUCGUUCACAUAUUUCACUUACGAUUAGAUAUAGAAUGUAUUUCAUCAAUAUGUAGAGAAUCUCUCGAAGACAACGAAAAGAUUACGUUGACUCAAGACACUUUUCUGGACUGUUUUGUAAAAUAUCAUUAUUCGGAGAAGAGGAACAAGGGCAGCUGUAAAUCAUAUCAAAGUACAACCUUCGGGAAUCUUAAGCAAGAACGUAUAAAUGCAACGAGCAUGGCAGGUGGCUCCGUACGAAAAUCGUCACUACCACCACCACCAACGGGCAUCGUCUCACCACCACUUUCAGCAGCCACCAAUAGUACCACUGUCGUUGCUACCUUUACCACCACCACCAUCAACACUAUCACUACCACCACCACUGCUAGUACCCCAUCUAGCAGCAGCAGCACCAGCAACAAGGAAGGGUGGUUAUGGCAGAAUCUCCAUCCCUCGACUGUGUUCUACCCCUUCUCUAUUUCUCGUCCUUUCCUCUCUCUCUCUCUCUCUCUCUCUCUCUCUCUCUCUCUCUCUCUCUCUCUCUCUCUUUUUACUUCUCGACUCGCCCCUCUACAACAGACGUACGGCAACCCCGGCGUUCAGUGCUGGCGCUUCCUCCGUACAAGUCGUGUUGCGAGUCUGGACCAGCAGUAUCUAUCUUUCUCUCUCGAAUUCG